UACAGGGGGUGCAAACGUUGCUCGGAAUCAUUGGGCGUAAAGCGCACGUAGGCGGUUCGUUAUGUCGGAUGUGAAAGCCCUUGGCUUAACCGAGGAAGUGCAUCCGAAACUGGCGAGCUAGAGUACUAAAGAGGAUCGCGGAAUUCCCGGUGUAGAGGUGAAAUGCGUAGAGAUCGGGAGGAACACCAGAGGCGAAGGCGGCUCGCUGGACAGUGACUGACACUCAACUACGAAAGCGUGGGGAGCAAACAGG
rnacentral:rRNA from 1 species